rnacentral:rRNA from 1 species
CAGCAGCCGCGGGAAUACAGAGGGUGCGAGCGUUAAUCGGAUUUACUGGGCGUAAAGCGUGCGUAGGCGGCUUCUUAAGUCGGAUGUGAAAUCCCUGAGCUUAACUUAGGAAUUGCAUUCGAUACUGGGAAGCUAGAGUAUGGGAGAGGAUGGUAGAAUUCCAGGUGUAGCGGUGAAAUGCGUAGAGAUCUGGAGGAAUACCGAUGGCGAAGGCAGCCAUCUGGCCUAAUACUGACGCUGAGGUACGAAAGCAUGGGGAGCAAACAGGAUUAGAUACCCCGGUAGUCCCUGUCUUUUAUAC